rnacentral:rRNA from 1 species
UUUAAAGAGAGUUUGAUCCUGGCUCAGGACGAACGCUGGCGGCGUGCCUAAUACAUGCAAGUCGAACGAACGGAGGAAGAGCUUGCUCUUCCAAAGUUAGUGGCGGACGGGUGAGUAACACGUGGGCAACCUGCCUGUAAGUUGGGGAUAACUCCGGGAAACCGGGGCUAAUACCGAAUGAUAAAGUGUGGCGCAUGCCACGCUUUUGAAAGAUGGUUUCGGCUAUCGCUUACAGAUGGGCCCGCGGUGCAUUAGCUAGUUGGUAGGGUA